UCUUUAACGGCCGCAGUACUCUGACUGUGCUAAGGUAGCAUAAUAAUUUGUCUUUUAAUUGGAGACUGGUAUGAAAGGCAUCAUGAAAAUUGACUGUCUUAUUAUAAAUAUUUAAAAGUUACUGUAAGAGGUGAAAAUUCCUCUAAUAGAUUUAAUUAGACGAGAAGACCCUUAGAAUUAUAACAAUACUAUAGUUCCUUUAGUUCGUUUUUGUUGGGGCAACAUUGUCAUAACUAUAAACUGAUGAUUUCUAGAAAAUAGUACAGGACUUUUAUUUUAUCUAAGAAUUUAAUUACCUAAGGGAUAACAGCAUAAUUCAAAAUAUGAGAUUAUGACCUCGAUGUUGGACUAGGGACUCUUGCCACUAGUCGUGGA
rnacentral:rRNA from 1 species